UUGAACGCUGGCGGCAUGCCUAACACAUGCAAGUCGAACGGCAGCACGGGGGGUAACCCCUGGUGGCGAGUGGCGGACGGGUGAGUAAUGCGUAGGAAUCUGCCCAUUAGCGGGGGACAACUUAGGGAAACUUAAGCUAAUACCGCAUACGCCUGCCAAUUUAGCGGUUGGUAGGGAAAGCAGGGGAUCUUCGGACCUUGCGCUAUUGGAUGAGCCUACGUCGGAUUAGCUAGUUGGUAGGGUAACGGCCUAUCAAGGCGACGAUCCGUAGCUGGUCUGAGAGGACGAUCAGCCACACUGGGACUGAGACACGGCCCAGACUCCUACGGGAGGCAGCAGUGGGGAAUAUUGGACAAUGGGGGCAACCCUGAUCCAGCAAUGCC
rnacentral:rRNA from 1 species